rnacentral:miRNA from 1 species
UCUCCAUUGAACGAUGCUCCCC